CAAUAGCGUAUAUUAAAGUUGUUGCAGUUAAAAGGCUCGUAGUUGGAUCUGUGGUGUGCGGUGGGCUCCGGGCACUUGUUGUCUGAGUAGCUCGCCGCUGCCAUCCUUGGGUGGAACCUGUGUGGCAUUAGGUUGUCGUGCAGGGGAUGCCCAUCGUUUACUGUGAAAAAAUUAGAGUGUUCAAAGCAGGCUUAUGCCGUUGAAUAUAUUAGCAUGGAAUAAUGAGAUAGGACUUUUUCGCUAUUUUGUUGGUUUGCGCGAAGAGGUAAUGAUUAAUAGGGACAGUUGGGGGUAUUCGUAUUCCAUUGUCAGAGGUGAAAUUCUUGGAUUUUUGGAAGACGAACUACUGCGAAAGCAUUUACCAAGGAUGUUUUCAUUAA
rnacentral:rRNA from 1 species